GAUGAAGAACGUAGUGAAAUGCGAUAACUAAUGUAAAUUGCAGAAUUCCGUGAAUCAUCGAGUCUUUGAACGCACAUUGCGCCCCCUGGUAUUCCGGGGGGCAUGCCUGUCCGAGCGUCAUUGCUGCCCAUCAAGCACGGCUUGUGUGUUGGGUCCUCGUCCCCCCCGGGGGACGUGCCCGAAAGGCAGCGGCGGCACCGCGUCCGGUCCUCGAGCGUAUGGGGCUUUGUCACCCGCUCUGCAGGCCCGGCCGGCGCUGGCCGACGCGAAAGCAACCAUUUUUUCUCCAGGUUGACCUCGGAUCAGGUAGGGAUACCCGCUGAACUUAAGCAUAUCAAUAAGCGGAGGA
rnacentral:misc_RNA from 1 species